rnacentral:rRNA from 1 species
AUUGAACGCUGGCGGCAUGCCUUACACAUGCAAGUCGAACGGUAACGGGCCUUCGGGUGCCGACGAGUGGCGAACGGGUGAGUAAUACAUCGGAACGUGCCCGAUCGUGGGGGAUAACGAGGCGAAAGCUUUGCUAAUACCGCAUACGAUCUACGGAUGAAAGCAGGGGACCGCAGGCCUUGCGCGGACGGAACGGCCGAUGGCAGAUUAGGUAGUUGGUGGGAUAAAAGCUUACCAAGCCGACGAUCUGUAGCUGGUCUGAGAGGAUGAUCAGCCACACUGGGACUGAGACACGGCCCAGACUCCUACGGGAGGCAGCAGUGGGGAAUUUUGGACAAUGGGCGCAAGCCUGAUCCAGCCAUGCCGCGUGCAGGAUGAAGGCCUUCGGGUUGUAAACUGCUUUUGUACGGAACGAAAAGCCUUCUUUUAAUACAGGAGGGUCAUGACGGUACCGUAAGAAUAAGCACCGGCUAACUACGUG